GCCGGGCGUGGUGGCGCACGCCUAUAAUCCCAGCUACUUGGGAAGCUGAGACGUGAGAAUCACUUGAACCCAGGAGGCACAGGCUACAGUGAGCCUAGAUGGCGCCACUGCACUCCAGCCUGGGUGACAGAGUGAGACCCUGUCUCAA
rnacentral:SRP_RNA from 1 species